rnacentral:rRNA from 1 species
AAGGAUCAUUAACGAGUUUUGAAAGGGGUUGUCGCUGGCCUUUCACGAGGCAUGUGCACACCCUGCUCAUCCACUCUCAACCUCUGUGCACUUAUUGUAGGUCGGUGGAAGGCUCGCAAGAGCUGGAAGCCUGCUUAUGUUUUACUACAAACACUUCAGUUAUAGAAUGUUUACUUGCGUAUAACGCAUUUAUAUACAACUUUCAGCAACGGAUCUCUUGGCUCUCGCAUCGAUGAAGAACGCAGCGAAAUGCGAUAAGUAAUGUGAAUUGCAGAAUUCAGUGAAUCAUCGAAUCUUUGAACGCACCUUGCGCUCCCUGGUAUUCCGGGGAGCACGCCCGUUUGAGUGUCAUGGUAUUCUCAACCUUCCUCACUUUUGUGACUGGAAGGCUUGGAUGUGGAGGUCGUGCGGGCUCUCGCGAGUCGGCUCCUCUGAAAUGCAUUAGCGUGAACGUUUACGGAUCGCUAUCAGUGUGAUAAUUAUCUGCGCUGUUAGUGUUGAAGUAUUGCUUAGUGUCGCGCUUCUAACCGUCCUUCAGUUGGACAACUUAUCUGACAUCUGGCCUCAAAUCGGGCGGGACUACCCGCUGAACUUAA